rnacentral:pre_miRNA from 1 species
AAUAUACUCCCUCCAUCCGGAAAUACUUGUCGGAGAAAUGGAUGUAUUUUAGUUCUAGAUACAUCUAUUUUUAUACAUUUCUGCGACGAGUAAUUCCGGACGGAGGGAGUAUUUC